rnacentral:snRNA from 1 species
GGAUGUGAGGGUGAUCUGGCUGUGACAUCUGUCACCCCAUUCAUUGCCAGGGUUGAUUCGGCUGAUCUGGCUGGCUAGGCCAGUGUUCCCUUCUUCCCUUACCAUUCCAUGUGUGUCCCUCCCGAAGCUGCACUCAUUCAAAGAGGACGACCUUCCCCGAAUAGAGGAGGACCGGUCUUCGGUCAAGGGUAUACGAGUAGUUGCGCUCCUCUGCUAGAACCUCCAAACAAGCUCUCAAGAUGUAAAGCUGGCAGGCAUAUUGGGCAUGCCUUUAAUCUCAGCACUUCAAUGAAGGAGCAGGCAGAUCUCCGUGAGUU